GGGGAGGAUUCAGCUACUGUGGGGAGGAGGGUGUUGGGAACAGGUUCAUCCCCCCCUUUUUGUUCUGUUUAUUUAUGUCUUUGUGCCAUGAAUGGCUCGAGUGUUGAGGGAGUAAACUGACAGUUUUGGAUACACACUACAGCAUGGAUGGACUGUGAUGACAUGUGUUAAGUGAAAAGAUGGCACGGCGUGCCAAAUACUGAGCGUCCCAUUUACAUAAAUAACCCAGCAGUGUCAGACUCACGGGGACAGAGUGGAAUGGAAGCUUCUAGGAUCUGGGUGUCUGGAGAAGCAGGGAGCUGCACUCAUUACCAGUGCCAACGACACAUCCCAGAAGCGAUGUCUUGGAAUCAGAAUUUGCAUUCCCGCAUAUUUCCUGGCUGUCCUGAUCCACACCAGAACCGCAGGAACUGAGGUGUCAUCGUCUUCCUGUCUGCCCAGCUCACAGACUGCUGGUUGCAUUCCUGACACACACUGAACUUAGUGGGCUAAGGCGGAGCAAAGUUUCUCUGUUUGGGUCGCAGAUGGCACAGCGGCAGGUUGGAGGUGUGGCUGCCUUUGCAUGCCAUCGCUGCCAUUCUCUAGACCCUUUGGGUUUCUUUCCUUACUCGAUGUUACCGCGCUUCUACCGCGCUGAAAGAGAAUGCCCUAUCAUCUUCCCCGACAGCAUGUACCAAAUGCAGCUUGCUCUGCACAACUUGGCAAUAAUGUACUUUCCUCAUCUACCGGAGCACCUGUCAUCUUCAUAGCCUCUCUCUCCUGGGGAGUCCUCCCUUCCUGAGGGUUGCUUUUCAAACACAACCAACACGACUGCCGUCUUUUAUUUGCUCUUUCCUCUGGGCCACUAAUACCCUGCCUUUAGUAGUAGCUUCAAGAGCCAGGUGGCUAGGCCUGAUGAAAUGAUGUAAACCAGCCAAUCCUAAACAUGUCUAUCCUGUCUCAUUCCUUCCUUCCCAUGUGCAGUGCUGAGCUUUACCUGAUACCUGACACAACCCGGAAGCCCCUGGGAAGAGUUUUAAUAAGAACUUAUCUAGAUCAGGGUGGCCCCGUGGGCAUAUCUAUAGGCGAUUAUCUUGACUGUUAUUGUUACAGGAAGGCCCAGCCCACUGUGGGCAGCACAUUCCUUAGGCUGGGCCCUGAAUUGUACUAGCGAUGAAAACUAGCGAGCGGAUAAGCAGCAUGUGUGCGUGUAUUCCUUGCUGCUCUUGACUGCAAAUAUGAUGCUUAAGUUCCUAACUCGACUUUCCCACAACAAGGGGCUGUAACCUGGAAUUGGAAGUCAAUAAAUUCUUCUUCUAAGCUACUUUUUGUUAGGACAUUUUUAUCACAGCAACAGAAAUGAAACCAGGACAUUGUGGAAAUCAGUAACGGCUCUUGUCAUGGUUUCACCUUGUCUUUACACACCCUCACUGGUACUUCUACCUCUGUGUUACGACAUGCAGCCUAGGCUGGGAUCUAUAACAAAUCUU